rnacentral:lncRNA from 1 species
UGAACAGGAGUGCCAGGAGGGUUAUAGGUGAAACAGUUGUUAAACAUAAGAAGGAUGUCGCUUUCAAAUUCCUCAAGAGUAGAAUACUCAUUUUUGUUCAAUUUGGAUUGUAUAGUGCUGAGAUCCAUGGGUUCUUUGAUGACAUCAAAAUAAUCCGGACAAUCGCAAGCUACAGGAUCAACAGGCUGAUAAAAGGGGAAAGCAAACGACUCGUAUUGUCUUUUGUAUAAUUCCUUUAACACAGUUGAGCAAAAGCGCAUUUGCGAGUUGUUUUUACGGCGCCUGGGUUUACCUUCCGGGAGAACAGCUGGAGAAGCAGCUUUAGGAGCUGUAGACGCAGCAACGCUGGCUGAUGUAGAGCUAACAGAUGAGUUUCUUCUAGUACGAGGGGGAGCAGUUGAGGCCGACUUUUGUUUGGACUUUUUCACGGGAGCAGCUGCGGGUUGUUCUGCGUCGGGCAACUGUUUUAACUGCCGCUCAAAUACCUCUUGCAAAGCUUUACCCAUCGAUCCAACUGGUGACUCCGUUCCAUUAUACAAAAAACAAUUUGAAAACAUCAGGUUCAUGUCAUCAAUGAAUUCUUGAGGAACGCUGUACUCGUAACUUGUUAAUUUCUUUUCAAUUGUCCCCAAGUCCAUGGGGUUUUUUACAAUUGUCGGAUAAUCUGGAAUGUUUUGUUUUAUGGGGUCUACUGGGACUUUAAAUGGUGCGGAAUUUUUGGUUCUUUUUAAUUGUCUUACAAUUGCCAAACAAUAUUUUUGUUGAGGCGGAGGCAUUCCACUGCCACGAAUCUUUUUAACAGUCGGUUCAGGUUCUUUUUUGGGCAUAGAUUCUUUUUCCUCUUGUUUCAAAUCGCCCACAGUCGCACCAGAAGAGUCACGCUUCCUCGAUAACGACUCUUCAUUUUCGUCGUUAUGACCAUCACUUGAUUGUAUGUUAUUAUCACCAUUUAACUGAGGACUCCCAUCAUUCGCAAUUUCAUCUUUUGUCUCAGCUUUGACCUCAUUUUCACGCGAUUCGCUGCUCAUAUUCUGGUACAAUCCAGCAAUUUUGAGGUUGGCGAAGGGUAGAUUCAAAAUUCAAGGUUCGGGCACAACCGAAAGUAGUCACGUGACUGGAAAAUACUGAAUGUUAACAAACUGAUGCGUUGCCUCGUAAAAGGACCGUCUAGUAUACUUAGUAUGGAAAAUGGCUCAGGUACAGCCUGUUUCAUGAGCUCUUAGAAAGUUGUUUCAACGAAGAAUUGAUCAUUAGUAUGGUGUUUUAUUAUUUGAAAAAUUUUCUUGUCUCUUUAUACGUUUACGGUAGUGUGCUUAUUGUAUCGUAAAACUGCAAAGUGCUGAAGAAAUUACUCACACACCUACGAAAUUUGUAUACCAAGAAGAAUGGGUUGUUUCAACGUAUGGUUUUGGUUUAAUUACUUUUUGAAUUCUACCAGAAUUAUUCCUUGUGAGCGCAUAGGAAGGAGCAGGCAAAAACUCACAAGUUGUGUUUAAUUUCUUAAUUAAUAUAUGCCCAUGAGAGAAAGUAUUUGUUUUAUCGAUACGUUGGAUUUCGUAGAAUAACUUAAUGUAUAAACAGAUAGACAUCUUUAUAGCGUAAACUCACAAACAAUAAUUAGAGAAAUUUUGUACUAGUAGACUAUGCGACGUUGUUAAUUGAAUUUGGUAUGCCUUUUGUAAUUAUUGGAUUUUUAAAGCAUAAACAGUUCGACUUUACUAAAGCUUGGAAUAUCGCUAGAGCUGACAAACACUGUCUUUUGUUUAC